rnacentral:rRNA from 1 species
AUUGAACGCUGGCGGCAUGCUUUACACAUGCAAGUCGAACGGUAACAGGCCGCAAGGUGCUGACGAGUGGCGAACGGGUGAGUAAUGCAUCGGAACGUGCCCAGUCGUGGGGGAUAACGCAGCGAAAGUUGCGCUAAUACCGCAUACGAUCUAUGGAUGAAAGCGGGGGACCGUAAGGCCUCGCGCGAUUGGAGCGGCCGAUGUCAGAUUAGGUAGUUGGGGGGGUAAAGGCUCACCAAGCCGACGAUCUGUAGCUGGUCUGAGAGGACGACCAGCCAAACUGGGACUAAGACACGGCCCAGACUCAUACGGGAGGCAGCAGUGGGGAAUUUUGGACAAUGGGCGCAAGGCUGAGCCAGCAAUGCCGCGUGCAGGAAGAGGGCCUUCGGGUUGUAAACUGCUUUUGUACGGAACGAAACGGUCCUGGUUAAUACCCGGGGCUAAUGACGGUACCGUAAGAAUAAGCACCGGCUAACUACGUGCCAGCAGCCGCCGUAA